rnacentral:rRNA from 1 species
AGAGUUUGAUCAUGGCUCAGAACGAACGCUGGCGGCAGGCCUAACACAUGCAAGUCGAGCGCACUUCGGGUGAGCGGCGGACGGGUUAGUAACGCGUGGGAAUGUACCCUUCUCUACGGAAUAGCCAUUGGAAACGAUGAGUAAUACCGUAUACGCCCUUUUGGGGAAAGAUUUAUCGGAGAAGGAUCAGCCCGCGUUAGAUUAGAUAGUUGGUGGGGUAAUGGCCUACCAAGUCUACGAUCUAUAGCWGGUUUUAGAGGAUGAUCAGCAACACUGGGACUGAGACACGGCCCAGACUCCUACGGGAGGCAGCAGUGGGGAAUCUUAGACAAUGGGCGCAAGCCUGANNNHGNMAUGCCGCGUGAGUGAUGAAGGCCUUAGGGUCGU